rnacentral:rRNA from 1 species
UACGAAGGGGGCUAGCGUUGCUCGGAAUCACUGGGCGUAAGGGGUGCGUAGGCGGGUCUUUUAAGUCAGGGGUGAAAUCCUGGAGCUCAACUCCAGAACUGCCUUCGAUACUGGCGAUCUCGAGUUCGGGAGAGGUGAGUGGAACUGCGAGUGUAGAGGUGAAAUUCGUAGAUAUUCGCAAGAACACCAGUGGCGAAGGCGGCUUACUGGUCCGGUUCUGACGCUGAGGCGCGAAAGCGUGGGGAGCAAACAGG